UUAAGCUCAGACACAGAUCCUGAGCUCUGAGGGGCCUGGGACUUCAACUAUGAGACUGGUGACAGGAAUAACUCUUCUCCUAGCUUUGGGUAUAUUGGGAGAUUCUAAGACCACACAGCCAAACUCAGCGGAGGGCGCUGAAGAAGAACCUGUGCACUUGCCCUGUAAUCACUCCACAAUCAGUGGACAUGAGUAUGUAUAUUGGUAUCGACAGAUUUCCCACCAGGGUCCAGAGUACUUGAUUCAUGGUCUGAACAACAAUGUGACAAAUAGGAUGGCCUCUCUGAGCAUCGCCAAAGACAGAAAGUCCAGCCUCUUGGUUCUGCCCCAGGUCACCGUGAGAGACACCGCUGUGUACUACUGCAUCCUGAGAGACACACACUGGGACAGGCGGGGCUGCACCUGUGCGGUAUGUCCUUGCUGGGGAAGGGAAGCAGCAGCGGUGUGCUUGUUAGAGCCGGUUUGGAAGGCAACCUUACUAUACCCGUGA